rnacentral:lncRNA from 1 species
CACACACACACCCACCCACAUAUACAUAUAUAUAUAUAUAUAUAUGGAGCUUUGAAAGGGUGAAGAGAUAUAGAAAAACCAAAAAAGAAAAAAAAAAAAACUGAAGUUUCUGCUCUCUGCUCCACCCGAAGAAGAAACACUACAUGUAUAUCUAUGUAUAUCACUUCUGAUAAGAUAUAUAAAUAUAUAUACACCAGGAAAUAUGCCUAAAAUAGCGAAAACCAAAACGUAAAAGCAAGAUUUUGCAUGGCUUCCAUGUCUAAUUUGAUGGGAUAGAGCCUUUAAUUUCCAAAGAAACAAAGAGAGAGAAACAAGACUGAAGAAGAGAAGACAUGAACAGUAACCCUUUUUCCUCUUUUUGGGAAUUUUUUUUUUUUUUUUUUCCCUCUCUAACAACUAUACAUAGUAUAUGUUCUACAUAUGAAUAAUGAAUCUAUGUGUGUGCAGAGAAAUCUUGAAAGACUGCAGUUUGAUAAGAUCACUAGAUUUUCUUUUCCAGGAAAAGAACCAACAAAGAACUGGGAGUUUCCCCACUGUUGAUAAAGGUAGAACUGAAGAGAAAAACUGAGGGAGAGAGAGAGAGAGAGAAAGAAGCAGAAGAAAAUAAUUGUUGGAGGUGAGUUUAAGUGGGUCAAGGGGGAGGGAAGGCUGUGAAAAAGGGUGUGGAGGACUGAGUUACUAAUAAGUAAACAUGACAAGGGACUGUUUUGCUAAAAAUAGGACAAGUUUUGCAGAGAGAUGAUGAUGGUGACCCAUUUUAUCCUGUUCACUCACCCACUCUCUCUCCAAAACGCGUGUCUUCACUCUCCACAAACAACUGUAUCUAUAGGUUUUUUCCAUCCAUUCAGGCAGGAGGAACCUUCACAGCAAUUGCCUUUUUGCUCUCCUCCAAAUUCUCUCUUGGAGCUGUUGGUGUGUGCACCCAUUGGCCUUCAAUAUGUGUAUCUCCCCCAUUUCCAUGAUUGAGAAAAAUGUGCCCUUAUAUCCAUAAGUGUUUCUGUUAAUUUCUAAAAAGAAAAUAUAUCGUGUUCUAUAGAUAUAUAAUUUUAUCUUAUGUUUUAUAAAUAAAAGAGAAUUUCGUAUGUAUGCUAAUACGUAUUAAAAUAUACUCAGUUUGCUGGA